AGUCCUUAACCUCGUUACUGUUUUCCUCAGUGCCUUUUUCUCUGAAAUAAAAAGAACAUUGUGUAAAAGGUAUUUUACCUACAAUAAGGAAUCAUAGGGAGUAGGGAGAAGGGACCAUGUUGUGAACUGGACGCGCCCCACAGACGUGCCCUAGCAGCGCGCGCAGAGGAGCGGCUUAUUGCUUGGUCUGAGGAUCAAGAAAGCUGUGGCGUUAUAGCACUUGUCCCGAAAGUCCUUCUCCAAACUGACUCUGUUGAGAAAACGGCACCAAACUUACUCUGUUGAGAAAACGGCACCAAACUAACUCUGUUGAGAAAACGGCACCAAACUGACUCUGUUGAGAAAACGGCACCAAACUGACUCUGUUGAGAAAACGGCACCAAACUUACUCUGUUGAGAAAACGGCACCAAACUGACUCUGUUGAGAAAACGGCACCAAACUGACUCUGUUGAGAAAACGGCACCAAACUGACUCUGUUGAGAAAACGGCACCAAACUUACUCUGUUGAGAAAACGGCACCAAACUGACUCUGUUGAGAAAACGGCACCAAACUGACUCUGUUGAGAAAACGGCACCAAACUGACUCUGUUGAGAAAACGGCACCAAACUGACUCUGUUGAGAAAACAGAACAAUUUGAGAUAAUAUUGUUGUAAAUCCAUAACCAUUUGAGAUCAGACACUGUUGUGAAUACAAAACACCCUUUGAAGACAGACAUUUGUGAAAACUGAACCCCCUGAAAACGGAACCCUUUAAACACACUGUUGUGACAAGAUAAUCCUUUUUCCUUAUUUAUCCUGUUAGAAUUUUCUUGUGAUUUGUUUCAGUUCUGGUGAUCUAAAGAAGCAGACUAUCUGAAGCUGAAGACCAUCUCCAUCUGGACCUUAUCUGCAUUUCAAGACUGUCAAACAUCCACAUCUUUACAUUUAGUUAAUUUCCUUGCCAUUUUAUUGCUUAUUCAUAAUUUUAAUCCAACUUUCAUGUAUUAACGACUGCAUAUUGCUUGUGGAUUGGAUUCCUUCUGUUUUUGAAUUAUAAGUACACUUUAUUGUUAUAUUAAAUAUUGUGUGUG